rnacentral:rRNA from 1 species
AACGAACGCUGGCGGCAUGCCUAACACAUGCAAGUCGAACGAGACCUUCGGGUCUAGUGGCGCACGGGUGCGUAACGCGUGGGAACCUGCCCGUAGGUUCGGAAUAACUCCCCGAAAGGGGUGCUAAUACCGGAUAAUGUCUUCGGACCAAAGAUUUAUCGCCUUUGGAUGGGCCCGCGUUGGAUUAGGUAGUUGGUGGGGUAAAAGCCUACCAAGGCGACGAUACAUAGCUGGUCUGAGAGGAUGGUCAGCCACAGUGGGACUGAGACACGGACCAGACUCCUACGGGAGGCAGCAGUGGGGAAUAUUGGACAAUGGGAGAAAGCAUGAUCCAGCAAUGCCGCGUGAGUGAUGAAGGCCUUAGGGUUGUAAAGCUCUUUUACCCGGGAUGAUAAUGACAGUACCGGGAGAAUAAGCUCCGGCUAACUCCGUG